GACGAACGCUGGCGGCGUGCUUAACACAUGCAAGUCGAACGAAGAGCGAUGGAAGCUUGCUUCUAUCAAUCUUAGUGGCGAACGGGUGAGUAACGCGUAAUCAACCUGCCCUUUAGAGGGGGACAACAGUUGGAAACGACUGCUAAUACCGCAUACGAUCUGACCUCGGCAUCGAGGAUAGAUGAAAGGUGGCCUCUAUUUAUAAGCUAUCACUGAAGGAGGGGAUUGCGUCUGAUUAGCUAGUUGGAGG
rnacentral:rRNA from 1 species